rnacentral:rRNA from 1 species
GAUGAACGCUGGCGGCGUGCCUAAUACAUGCAAGUCGAGCGAACAGAUGAGGAGCUUGCUCCUCUGACGUUAGCGGCGGACGGGUGAGUAACACGUGGAUAACCUACCUAUAAGACUGGGAUAACUUCGGGAAACCGGAGCUAAUACCGGAUAAUAUAUUGAACCGCAUGGUUCAAUAGUGAAAGACGGUUUUGCUGUCACUUAUAGAUGGAUCCGCGCCGCAUUAGCUAGUUGGUAAGGUAACGGCUUACCAAGGCAACGAUGCGUAGCCGACCUGAGAGGGGGACGGGCGAAAGGGGGACUGAGAGACGGCACAGACGCCGACGGGAGGUAGCAGUGGGGAAUAUUGAAAAAUGGGAGGAAGCCUGAUGCAGCAAAGCCGCGUGCGGGAGGACGGCCUUAGGGUUGGAAAACGCAUUCAGCAGGGGCGAAGCUUGUGGUGACGUUACCUGAAGAAGAAGCACCGGCUAACUACGUG